GUGCUUAACACAUGCAAGUCGAACGGAAAGGCCCCUUCGGGGGUACUCGAGUGGCGAACGGGUGAGUAACACGUGGGUGAUCUGCCCUGCACUCUGGGAUAAGCCUGGGAAACUGGGUCUAAUACCGGAUACACCCUUCUGGUUGCAUGGCUGGGAGGGGAAAGCUUUUGCGGUGUGGGAUGGGCCCGCGGCCUAUCAGCUUGUUGGUGGGGUGAUGGCCUACCAAGGCGACGACGGGUAGCCGGCCUGAGAGGGUGUCCGGCCACACUGGGACUGAGAUACGGCCCAGACUCCUACGGGAGGCAGCAGUGGGGAAUAUUGCACAAUGGGCGCAAGCCUGAUGCAGCGACGCCGCGUGGGGGAUGACGGCCUUCGGGUUGUAAACCCCUUUCAGUAGGGACGAAGCGUGAGUGACGGUACCUACAGAAGAAGCACCGGCCAACUACGUGCCAGCAGCCGCGGUAAUACGUAGGGUGCGAGCGUUGUCCGGAAUUACUGGGCGUAAAGAGCUCGUAGGUGGUUUGUCGCGUUGUUCGUGAAAUC
rnacentral:rRNA from 1 species